GUUUCCUCUAAGACAAGGCAUACUCAUGCUACAGAUUUUAAUUCUUUUCAAAACUAUUUUGUGAUAGAAAAUGCUUCACUCUAUGCUUUUCCUUAACCAGCUCCAGCAGACUCUUUUAAUUACCAACAGACACAUUACCCAGCUGUGCUAGGAAACAUUACUUAACCUGCUCAGCCUGAAUGGAGAAUUUCUGUUGAUGUCAGCUGUCAGACCCACAGGCUCUUGACUGCACUAACAGAUAUGGCAGCCCAGUGGAGAUACCCAGCUGCGUCAAGCGGCCGCUGGGGAGGCGAAAUCUUCAGCAGGAACUUUGUACCCGGAGAGAUGGAAAAGUCAACACGGCUCAUUGUCACAUUAGGGAGCUGCUGCUGUCCCAGGAUUGCUGAGAUACUUGGCAAGACAGACUGGGCAGCCUCUCUGUCUGCCCGACGGCGUCUGCCCUGCUGCAGAUUUGUCAUGCGGAUCAUUGAGUUGAACCGAGCACAUAAAUUUUCAGUUAUGACGAAAAAGUUAGAAAAUUCUCUAUCUGUGCUGAUAGGCAGGGAGCACUUUGGGGAACAAGAGCAGGAGCAAAGGAUCACUCCCAGAGUGUGACAGUGACUUACAGAAAGGAAGAACAAGCUAAAAGCAACACUGGUGAGAAAUUAAUUCAAUGUUAACUCCAUGAGAUCCUUCUACAUUCAUUCAUUUUCCAGUCAAAACAUCAUUAAAUAUUUAAAUCACUCCCACCAUAGGUGGCAGUUUAUUGAGAUUUGAUUUUGAGAGCUGAGAGUUCAGCAAACCAAAAGCUUCUACCACAAUCUCAACACUGAAUUUAAAACCAGCAUCUUCACAAUAAACCACUGAUCUCCACCCGUAACUAUGGCAAACCAGCAGCCAGACACACAACAGGGAGAUCAUGAAGAACCCUCCACUUAACACAGAAGCAAUAUGAAUCUGGAUUUUUCAUAUAAAAUCUCAUGUCAGACAGAAAGACCAAGAACAAUAAGGUUUUGUCAUAAUAAAGGCUCAAACUUUUCUUAUAUCA